CAGGUGGUGCAUGGUUGUCGUCAGCUCGUGUCGUGAGAUGUUGGGUUAAGUCCCGCAACGAGCGCAACCCCUGUGGUUAGUUGCCAGCAAGUAGCGUUGGGCACUCUAGCCAGACUGCCGGUGAUAAAUCGGAGGAAGGUGGGGACGACGUCAAAUCAUCAUGCCCUUUAUGUCCUGGGCUACACACGUACUACAAUGGCCGUUACAACGGGAAGCGAAGGAGCAAUCCGGAGCAAAUCCCUUAAAGGCGGUCCCAGUUCAGAUUGUGGGCUGAAACUCGCCCACGUGAAGGCGGAAUUGCUAGUAAUUGCAGAUCAGCAUGCUGCAGUGAAUACGUUCCCGGGCCUU
rnacentral:rRNA from 1 species